GUAGGUGAACCUGCGGAAGGAUCAUUAAAGAAAUUUAAUAAUUUUGAAAAUGGAUUUUUUUGUUUUGGCAAGAGCAUGAGAGCUUUUACUGGGCAAGAAGACAAGAGAUGGAGAGUCCAGCCGGGCCUGCGCUUAAGUGCGCGGUCUUGCUAGGCUUGUAAGUUUCUUUCUUGCUAUUCCAAACGGUGAGAGAUUUCUGUGCUUUUGUUAUAGGACAAUUAAAACCGUUUCAAUACAACACACUGUGGAG
rnacentral:misc_RNA from 1 species